rfam:Erinaceus europaeus unplaced genomic scaffold scaffold00169, whole genome shotgun sequence
AUACUUACUUGGCAGGGGAGAUACCAUGGUCACAAAUGUGGUCUCCCCAGGGAAAGGCUAUCCAUUGCACUCCAGGUGUGCUGACCACUGUGAUUUCUCCAUAUGUGGGAAACUGAACUGCAUAAUUUGUGGUAGUGGGGGACUGUGUUCAUAAUUUCCCCUG